rnacentral:SRP_RNA from 2 species
GCCAGGCGUGGUGGCGCAUGCCUGUAAUCCCAGCUACUUGGGAGGCUGAGGCAGGAGAAUCGCUUGAACCCAGGAGGCUGAAGUUGCGGUGAGCUGAGACUGCACCAUUGCACUCCAGCCUGGGUAGUAGAGCAAGACCCUGUCUCAA